UACGGAGGGGGCUAGCGUUGUUCGGAAUUACUGGGCGUAAAGCGCACGUAGGCGGCUUUGUAAGUUAGAGGUGAAAGCCCGGAGCUCAACUCCGGAAUUGCCUUUAAGACUGCAUCGCUAGAAUUGUGGAGAGGUGAGUGGAAUUCCGAGUGUAGAGGUGAAAUUCGUAGAUAUCGGGAGGAACACCAGUGGCGAAGGCGGCUUCCUGGCCUGCUCUUGACGCUGAGGCGCGAAAGCUAGGGUAGCAAACGGG
rnacentral:rRNA from 1 species